rnacentral:ncRNA from 18 species
GUUCAACAUCAGGAGUUGGACAGUAGUGUCCACGCCAACCUGCCUACUCGGGCAAGGUGGUAUCGCUUAUGCAGAUGGGGCCUUUAAACAAGGUAACCAAACGAGUCCCU